rnacentral:rRNA from 5 species
AACUUUCAGCAACGGAUCUCUUGGCUCUCGCAUCGAUGAAGAACGCAGCGAAAUGCGAUAAGUAAUGUGAAUUGCAGAAUUCAGUGAAUCAUCGAAUCUUUGAACGCACCUUGCACUCCUUGGUAUUCCGAGGAGUAUGCCUGUUUGAGUGU